rnacentral:rRNA from 1 species
AAAGUUCAGAUUUGACUUAGUGGCGGACGGGUGAGUAAUGCAUGAGCAACCUGCCCUGCAGUGGGGGACAACAGUUGGAAACGACUGCUAAUACCGCAUGAUGUGCCGAGGGGGCAUCCCUUUGGCACCAAAGAUUUAUCGCUGUGGGAUGGGCUCAUGUCUGAUUAGUUAGUUGGUGGGGUAACGGCUCACCAAGACUGCGAUCAGUAGCCGGACUGAGAGGUUGAACGGCCACAUUGGGACUGAGAUACGGCCCAGACUCC